GGGGAUAAAAACGUUUUCAUCCGUUCUUCCGAGCAACAUUUAACUAUGGUCGGGUUGCUGUCUCUUUGACACAUAUCCAUUUCCAUUCUCAAUUUUAUUUUAACUCGUUUACCAUGUUUACGUUUGGCUAAUCACUACCCUUACCUUUUCAACAUCGUACGCGUCGAUUUCCAAGCAAUUACAGGAGAAAAUUACGGUCUGUGUUUUUUUUGUUCAAUUGGUUAGUUAGC
rnacentral:lncRNA from 1 species